rnacentral:tRNA from 1 species
GCAUCCGUAGCUCAGUAGGAUAGAGCACUCGGCUACGAACCGAGAGGUCGAAGGUUCAAAUCCUUUCGGAUGCA